GAUGAAGAACGCAGCGAAAUGCGAUAAGUAAUGUGAAUUGCAGAAUUCAGUGAAUCAUCGAAUCUUAGAACGCACAUUGCGCCCGCCAGUAUUCUGGCGGGCAUGCCUGUUCGAGCGUCAUUUCAACCAUCAAGCCCCAGGCUUGUGUUGGGGACCUGCGGCUGCCGCAGGCCCUGAAAACCAGUGGCGGGCUCGCUGUCACACCGGGCGUAGUAGAUUUUAUCUCGCUCAGGGCGUGCUGCGGGUUCCGGCCGUUAAAAAGCCUUUUUUACCCAAGGUUGACCUCGGAUCAGGUAGGAAGACCCGCUGAACUUAAGCAUAUCAAUAAGCGGAGGA
rnacentral:misc_RNA from 1 species